GAAUUGUUCUUCUUUUGGUUAUCUAGCUCCUUGUCCUACAUCAACUGCCCACUUGUUAUAUCCAUCUCUUUAAUAAUUCCAUCUUUUCUUAACUUUGCUUUUUAACAAAUUUCUAGAAAUUCACCUGGGCUGUUUGAAUCAAAGAAGGCUGAAGAGAAAUCCCUCACCCCGCCCUAAAGAAUUGCCUUGGUAGAGAAAAAUAUAUAUAUAUAUUUUUUCAUAUUGGAGGAGGUGAUGCUAAUAGAAAAAGCAGCAUCAGAGAUUUGAUACUACUCAAUUGCAGAAUAUUGUAAUCCCACCAUUAAACUAAGCCAUAAAUCUCCUACCCAUCCAAUAGAUUACUUUGAAAUUGAACUCUUUCACCAUCAUCUUUCUCUGCCCUUUAAUGGCUUCUCUCAUCAACACUACUACUAUAUAUUUUCUGUUUUUGCAUUUAUAUAUCUACAUAUUUUUCUCUCUCUUCCUUAACUCUAAAUUCUUGGUUUGUUCUCAGUUUAUUAUCCUCCUUGAGAAUUGUGUUUUUGACGAUGAAUUCAUUUUUCUCCAUAUAACCGUCCCCUUCUUUUACUUCCUUGACUUGACUAACUUAGACUUAGAAAACUUGCCUGGUACGCUUCUCUCUCUGUGAUUCUCUCUCUAAAUACCUGUAAUUAUUUUGUUUCUUCACCACUUCGGGCUUCCAUUCAUGUAUUUGCUUUGUUGAGUUUCUAUCUAUGUACGUUCUGAUUCAUCACUUCACUUUUGAUUCUGAAUACUUACUGUCACCUGCACUGUUUCUGUUCUGUUUUCUGAUUUUUCUGGUUGUUCAUAAUGGUUUUGUUUGUGGUAUUGAUCAAUUCUUGAUAUAGACAUCGGAUGAAUUUGUCUAAUUUCUGAUAAGAUUUCUGGGUAUGAAAAUAUUUACUAAUUCCUUAGAAUCCUCAUCAUCCAUGAAAAGAAUCCCUGUAUGUCUAUCUAUUUCAGUUAUCUAAUUAAUAUUUAUAUUUCUCCAAAUAUUUUCUGAUAAUUAAUUUUCCCCAAUUUCAUGUAAUGUUAGAGAUUUCGGAUUCUGAUCCAUGUCCAAAGGGAAAGAUCAAGGAGGUGAAGAUGCAGGGAUGCUUGGUGAGGAUCCUGGCAAUAGCUUUUGGAUUAUUUCUAACAGUCUCCAGCCAAAAAAGCUUGGUGCUUGCCAAUCUAAUGGCAAGGAAGAUGACCGAGAAUAUGUGUGUGGAAGUGAUAAUAAUCCUCGCAAGAAACGGAUGCUCGAGGAAUCUGGUAAUAGCUUCAGGUUUGCUUGCAAUCAGCCACCUGCAACUGCCAUUGCCUGUGAAACCAAUAGAGCAGAAGACAGGGUCGAUGGUUUCACAAGUGUAGAACCUCAGGAUGCAGAUUACUCCGAAGUUCCACAGCUUAAUGAUGAGAUAGAGAAUCAGAUUUUGGCAAGAGUUCCAAGAUCAGAAUCCUGGAAAUUUCCUUUGGUGAACAAGAGAAUAUUCGCUCUUAUGAAGAGUGGAGAGCUCUUUAAGAUCAGAAGGGAACUUGGGGUCAGAGAAUCAUCUGUUUUUAUUUUCACAACUGGAGACAGUGGUUGGUGGGCAUUUGAUCGACAAUUCACUUCCCGUAGAAAGCUUCCAGACUUGCCAGCAGACUCCUGUUUUUCUUCAGGAGACAGAGAAUCAGUUUGUGCAGGGACUCAUAUGAUCAUUUCAGGCAGGGAAAUAGAUGGUGUUGUAGUUUGGAGGUAUGAAUUAGAAACAAAUAGCUGGAGAAGGGGUCCUUCAAUGAUCGAAUCCAGGUGUCUGUUUGCUUCAGCUUCCUGCGGUCCCUUUGCUUUCGUAGCUGGUGGAGUAACAGAGACCGGUGCAAUUCUAAAUUCUGCUGAGAAAUACAAUUCCGACACUAAGACAUGGGAAUCUCUCCCAAUGAUGCAGGAGAAAAGGAGGCUCAGCUCUGGAUGCUACAUGGACAACAAGUUUUACGUUAUCGGCGGCCGAAAUGAGGAGGGAAGAUGUCUUACUUGUGGAGAAGCUUACGAUGAGGAUAAAAAGACAUGGGAACUCAUCCCAGACAUGUUGGAGGACACUCCUGUUGCCACUUUUCAUUCUCCACCACUUGUUGCUGUUGUGAAUAAUGAGCUAUACUCGCUAGAGACUUCAUCAAAUGUGCUGAAAGUGUAUUCAAAAAGGAGCAGAACAUGGAGGAAAUUGGGACCCGUCCCAGUAAGAGCUGAUUCUUCGAGAGGAUGGGGGGUGGCCUUCAAGUCUCUGGGCAAUGAGCUACUUGUAAUAGGUUCAUCAAAAUCUGUCUCUUAUUCAGGAGAUAGCAUGGCCAUAUACACAUGUUCUCCAGAUGCUGAAGCUGAGGAAUUGCAAUGGAGGCCUCUUGAGUGUGGCGGCAGAAACAGACUGAGCAAUUUUAUAUUGAACUGUUCUGUAAUGGUAGCUUGAAUUUUAAACUAGGAUUUGACAUAUUAGAUGCUUCAAUAUUAGUGUGCUGGCGGCUAUUUGAAGGAACCAAGAUGAAUCAUUCUACCAAAUGGGCUUGAAACCUGUUUGUCAGUUUUAGGAUAAAGAAGUGAAGAAAAAAAUCUGAUUUAUUGC